UACGGGGGGGGCAAGCGUUGUUCGGAAUUACUGGGCGUAAAGGCUCGUAGGCGGCGCCGUAAGUCGGGUGUGAAAUUUCGGAGCUUAACUCCGAAACUGCAUUCGAUACUGCGGUGCUUGAGGACUGGAGAGGAGACUGGAAUUCAUGGUGUAGCAGUGAAAUGCGUAGAGAUCAUGAGGAAGACCAGUGGCGAAGGCGGGUCUCUGGACAGUUCCUGACACUGAGGCACGAAGGCCAGGGGAGCAAACGGG
rnacentral:rRNA from 1 species